CCCCACAGCACAGUGGGGUGGGGGGGCGCCGAAGAGACGCCAGAGGGGCUUCCUUUAGGAGAAAGCCCCUCCUUCGAGACCAUGAGCUCUGCGCAGACCGGGACCCCGGCUGCUCCGCCCACCGUCGGAUCCCCAGGCCCAGCACUGGGCCCGGCACAGGAGAAAGGAGGCCCAGAAGCCCCCAUGUGCCUGUGUUUCAGAUUCUCCAGUCAUCCCGGUAUUCGCCCCGGUUGCCACGGCCACCCCUUCACUUCGGUGGCGCACUGCGAAGCCGGCCUCGGACGCGGAGGCCUUGCUGGCCCGCAUCCGCCGGUGUGCCCUGCAGGGACGUCUGGACACUGCGUCCCGCCCGGCACGAGGCUGGGCAGCCCUCCAGAAGCAGCAACGUCUGGAAGCUGCUUUGAAACCCAGGUCAGGCCAGGUCCCUCCUCAGCUGCACGUCCACGCGACUGGCGUCCGAAGUCCCUGCCGUGGCCUGAGAGAGAGGGGACUUGAGGACUUAUGACACCGGCUGUGAGAGCAGAAGGGGCGCCGUUAAGGACAUUGUGGGGGCCAGAGGUUCAAAGGUGGGGGCAGUCAUGCUCUCAGAGGGAGCGGCCGGUCCCCCGGGGCGGGGGCUGUCUCUGCUUAUCUGCUCCUGGAGCACCGGGCAGGUCUCCUUCCCACAGGGCCCGGCCUCUACAUGGACCGGUUA